rnacentral:tRNA from 1 species
AAGGUUUUAAGUUAAAUAAACUAUUAGCCUUCAAAGCUGAAAAUAAAUAAAUUAGUUUAAGCCUUA